rnacentral:ncRNA from 2 species
UGCCUUCAUGAUCGCGCCGGUGCCCCGAGAGGGGCUUAAUAGGGAAUGCGGUGCGGGCGGCCUCGGCUGCCCAAAUCCGCGGCUGUCCCUGCAACUGUAAGCGGCGAGCGCGAUGCAUAUCGCCUGCCCCCGAUGACCGGGGCGGGCAGCCACUGGGCCGGACGCUAAAUCAUGCGAGGCCUGGGAAGGCCGUGCAUCAAGCGAUGACCCGCGAGCCAGGAGACCUGCCGGCGUCUGGUCGCUCUU